UACGUAGGGAGCAAGCGUUGUCCGGAAUCAUUGGGCGUAAAGCGCGCGUAGGUGGCCACAUAAGUCCGUUGUGAAAGUCAAAGGCUCAACCUUUGAAAGCCGAUGGAUACUGUGUGGCUAGAGUACGGAAGAGGCGAGUGGAAUUCCUGGUGUAGCGGUGAAAUGCGCAGAUAUCAGGAGGAACACCGGUGGCGAAGGCGGGUCUCUGGGCCGAUACUGACGCUGAGGAGCGAAAGCGUGGGGAGCGAACAGG
rnacentral:rRNA from 1 species